rnacentral:rRNA from 1 species
GGAUGAGUGGCGAAACGGGUGGGUAACACGUGAGUAACCUGCCCCCUUUCUUUGGGAUAACGCCCGGAAACGGGUGCUAAUACUGGAUAUUCACUGAUCUUCGCAUGGGGGUUGGUGGAAAGGUUUUUUCUGGUGGGGGAUGGGCUCGCGGCCUAUCAGCUUGUUGGUGGGGUGAUGGCCUACCAAGGCUUUGACGGGUAGCCGGCCUGAGAGGGUGACCGGUCACAUUGGGACUGAGAUACGGCCCAGACUCCUACGGGAGGCAGCAGUGGGGAAUAUUGCACAAUGGGCGAAAGCCUGAUGCAGCGACGCCGCGUGAGGGAUGGAGGCCUUCGGGUUGUAAACCUCUUUCGCUCAUGGUCAAGCCGCAACAUUGGUUGUGGUGAGGGUAGUGGGUAAAGAAGCGCCGGCUAACUACGUGCCAGCAGCCGCGGUAAUACGUAGGGCGCGAGCGUUGUCCGGAAUUAUUGGGCGUAAAGGGCUUGUAGGCGGUUGGUCGCGUCUGCCGUGAAAUCCUCUGGCUUAACUGGGGGCGUGCGGUGGGUACNGGCUGACUUGAGUGCGGUAGGGGAGACUGGAACUCCUGGUGUAGCGGUGGAAUGCGCAGAUAUCANGAAGAACACCGGUGGCGAAAGCGGGUCUCUGGGCCGUUACUGACGCUGAAGAGCGAAAGCGUGGGGAGCGAACAGGAUUAGAUACCCUGGGUAGUCCACGCUGU